rnacentral:tRNA from 1 species
GGGGGUAUCGUCUAGUGGUAGGAUAGCAGAUUGACAUUCUGCGGGCAGGAGUUCAAUUCUCCUUACCCCCA